rnacentral:lncRNA from 1 species
AAGUGGGACUCACUCUUUGCGACUCUUGUGUCCAUGGAAACUGUCGAUUGGAGUUUAUCGUUCUCCUUUUCCCGCCGUAGACAUUGAAAUUUACCACAACAGCGUCGAAAACAAUUCAUUUUUUUUAUCUUUUUAAAAAUUAAAUUAAGUUUACAUUUGCAUUAACUAAUAUUCCCAUGUUACUUUCCGACAGUUGACAUUUCAUAUGUCGUCCUAAUCAAUCUCUUAGACUAAUGUGUCACAUUAUUCAUAAAUAAACCUUUUAGCAGUUUAUAUGAACAAAUAUAACACGGUGACUUGUAUAUAAGACCGUGUAAUUAUGAUGCAAGUCUGCUUCAUUCUUUUCAGCAAUUGGUAUAUUUUA